rnacentral:rRNA from 1 species
GAGCAGCAGUGGGGAAUUUUGGACAAUGGGCGCAAGCCUGAUCCCAGCAAUGCCGCGUGUGUGAAGAAGGCCUUCGGGGUUGUAAAGCACUUUUGUCCGGAAAGAAAACCCYGGGCCCUWAUACGGCGGGGGGAUGACGGUACCGGAAGAAUAAGCACCGGCUAACUACGUGCCAGCAGCCGCGGUAAUACGUAGGGUGCAAGCGUUAAUCGGAAUUACUGGGCGUAAAGCGUGCGCAGGCGGUUCGUUAAGACAGAUGUGAAAUCCCCGGGCUUAACCUGGGAACUGCAUUUGUGACUGGCGGGCUAGAGUAUGGCAGAGGGGGGUAGAAUUCCACGUGUAGCAGUGAAAUGCGUAGAGAUGUGGAGGAAUACCGAUGGCGAAGGCAGCCCCCUGGGCCAAUACUGACGCUCAUGCACGAAAGCGUGGGGAGCAAACAGGAUUAGAUACCCUGGUAGUCCACGCCCUAAACGAUGUCAACUAGUUGUCGGGUCUUCAUUGACUUGGUAACGUAGCUAACGCGUGAAGUUGACCGCCUGGGGGAGUACGGUCGCAAGAUUAAAACUCAAAGGAAUUGACGGGGACCCGCACAAGCGGUGGAUGAWGGUGGAUUAAUUCGAUGCAACGCGAAAAACCUUACCUACCCUUGACAUGGACGGAGCCUGGCUGAAAAGGUCGGGGUGCUCGAAAGAGAACCGUCACACAGGUGCUGGCAUGGCUGUCGUCAGCUCSUGUCSUGARAWAGUUUGGGGUUAARUCCCCGCAACRAGCGCAACCCCUUGUCCCUAAGUUGCUACGCMAGAGCACUCUUAGGGRGACUGSCSGKGRCAAACCSGAGGAAAGGGGGGGKGGGGA